CCCUUAGAUGUCCUGGGCUGCACGCGCGCUACACUGAUGUGUCCAGUAAGCACCUAACCUCUUCCGAAAGGAACGGGUAACCUUUGCAAAGCACAUCGUGAUGGGGAUAGAUUAUUGCAAUUAUUAGUCUUGAACGAGGAAUUCCUAGUAAGCACAAGUCAUCAGCUUGUGUUGAUUACGUCCCUGCCCUUUGUACACACCGCCCGUCGCUCCUACCGAUUGAAUGUUCCGGUGAGCUCUUCGGACUGCGCGGUCUGCAGUUUCUGCGUUCCGUGCGGAAAGUUGCGCAAACCUUAUCAGUUAGAGGAAGGAGAAGUCGUAACA
rnacentral:rRNA from 1 species